rnacentral:lncRNA from 1 species
GUAUUCGUCCCUGUGUCUUCCCACUGUGGUUUACACAGAGCAGAAGCAGCCGCUAGCUGAUACCAGUAUUUUCAAUAUGACAGACAGAAGCAGCUUUAGGGUAGGGAGAGUCCAAUCACUCUGACAUGCUUAAAGAUCUCCACUGGAAGUAGCCUAUGUCAGGUGUGCUCAUAUUCUGUCAUUCAGAGCUACCUCAUGGCCAAGUUUCAGUGUCAGAGGGCUCUGCCAGGAAAGUGCCUCAAACCUAGAGAGGAAAUAAGCAAAAUGAUGGACGCAGAGAUCCAUUACUGCGCGCGGCAGGGGAGAGGAUGCUGCGCGGAGGUUCCUGCCACUUUACAGCUCACUGGCUCGCGCUACCUCACCAGCCUGGGAUGGGACGCUGCUGAAAGACCAGCCUAGCCUUCGGCUCUUCUCUCUGCGCAGGACCUUAGGGUCCCGUGCCCCUGCUGUGUCCCCUAACCACUCACUCUCGCCAAUCCCGUGCAGCAAUCGACCGCAUCCUAAGUUUUAAAUUGACAAGGUCAAAUAGGGAACCUAGUGCAUGGCAAUCCUCCAGACUGAUAAAACCCGGCCUCCCACUGUCACAAGUUCUGUGUAAAGGUGGCAGUCUCUUCUUUCACCUUCAUCUUGGCAAGAGUGUCGGGAUUUGUUUCUCUCUGAGUUGACAUCUGUAUGUUUGGAGGAAGAGGGGAAAAAUGAACAACAAAAUCUGGAAAGGAGAUAAAGAACUUGGUGCUGGAGCGUGGACCUGGGAGCAGAGCAAUCAGCAGUGCUGCCAGCUGCGAGAAGUUUCUAAUAAGGAAAUUAGAACAUGAUCAUUUCUGGCUAUGUGACUCCGGUUCUAAAUAGGUUUUACAAAUAGAUAGUGAUUGAGCCUGGAAACACAAACAAAUUGGCUUUGUAGAAUAAAGGCUGAACUACAUUUUGGUUAAAGAA